CAGGCGGUGGCGGCGGUGGCGACGGCCGCACGGCUGCGGCCUCCCUCGGAGAAGCUCCGGUCGCGAGGAUGAAGGGCGGGGCCGCCUCCCGGACCAAUCACUGUCACUCAAGUUGCAGGGGAGGAGGUACAAAUGGUGAGAAACAGGAGAAGCCAGGAGAAUGCACAGAGGAGAGCUGCUGUAAACAGUGCCUGGGCCAUGUUUAUGUUGUUGUUGGAUUGUACAACUAGAAUUGCAAGUUUAUAUCAACUGGCCCUCCAGCCUAAGAAGCGAGAGGAAGAUACUAAUAACGGAGAGGCUCACAGUGAGGAACAACAUUUUACUUAUCCGCAUCCUAAACACCUGGAUUAGAUUGACUUAUCUUUGUUCAAAAAUUAGUAAAAGGAAAAUACUGAUAUGGCAGCUAAGAAAAUAAUUUAUAGUUAAGAGAUGGAGAAUUGAGAUAUAGAAGGGGAGAAUUAUUUGGAAAAAAAGUUUAUUCAAGAAGGAGA
rnacentral:lncRNA from 1 species